AAUUCUUGAUGCAAUAUUUCACCAAGAAGUUGAUUGGGAGUCUUUGUCUUGAAGCUUGGAUCUCUUCUAAUCAUGGUAGCAAGAGUACGAUUUCUUGGGGUGAACGCUCUAAGCAUAUUCUUUGUGACCUUGUGAUCAUCCCAAUCCGUGCUUCCAAGAAUUCUAAUGUCCGAUACAAGGAGCAUUAGUCUAUCAAACAUUUGUGUCAUGGUUUCUUCCUCAAGCAUGAUGAAAUACUCUAGCUCUCCGUGAAUCAAGUCUAUCUUUCCUUCUCUUACUUGAUCGGUCCCCUCAUGUGCCUCCUUUAGUGUGUCCCAAAUUACCUUGGCAAUUUCAAUGGAACGAAC
rnacentral:lncRNA from 1 species